UCAAAGGGGAUGAUGCAAUUACCCUAAAGUAUGGUUGUUUGAACAAUGAUUAAGCAAAUUGCAAAACAUUGCAAAACUGAGGUGACUCGAAAUAUGGAAGAAUCGGUUAGAUAGAUUUCCGAUUUUAACGCUGAAGCCGCGAUUGAAGUUGAAGACAGUUGAGAAAGUGAUUCGAAAACCUGUAAAUGGGUAAGGAUCGAAGUGUGUUAGAAAGAGAACGAACAACAGUCAAUGUGUAUCGCUGGUUUUUAUUUCUAAACUCUAAGUCAGAGAGAGCAAGAAAUGAAAGGAAAAGGGAGAAUUAACCUAUCGUUUUAGGGAUUUUAGAUUUGGGAGAAGUUCUCCAACCUUGACGAACCUAGGGCACCGAACUUCAAUCCUUCCCACUGCCUCCGGUCUCACAACGCCUUUGGGUUCUUGAAAUCGGAGGUAGAACUCGAGGAACUUCAUGAUUUCUUCUACACCUUUUGUAGCCCACCCACUCCCAACAUCUCCAUCUUCAAUAUCGUUACCUUGGUUUGCAGAACAGAGGAUGAAUCUCUGCAACUUGAGAAGACAAAGCUCUGUUCCUUCACGGGAGCGCCUUCGCAGGCCUUCACUGGACUUGCAUCAUAUUCAUCUCGUUGCCCUGUAGUUACAGCCGCGGCUAAGCGGAGGAGUACGACCUGCUGAAAUCCUGAGCGGAGGAGUACAAUGGUGCUGAAGGCAGGUUGUAUCGUGAAAGAGGGGUAUUUCGUCGGGCAUGGGGUUAUUGUUAAGGUGAAAUAUUGUUUCCGGAAACGGCCACUCGUUUCGUCAAAACCUUUUCUUGAACCAGAAAUCAUUAUAAAUUUCAAUUUCUAUUCCUAGAAAUAGGUGAAAGGAAACCCGGUUAUCAAAUGCUUUUGUUCCCGUUUCUCCAUUUCUUGGGACAGAAAAACAUGAACACCUGAAACAAAACGUUGUCAAAUUAGUUCCAUCAAAUAUGGCCACUGGAAUUUCUCUUAUUAUGCCCUCUUUCUCCCUUGUAUGCAAGUGUAGCCCACUGUCAAGAUCAUUUCCUUGUUGCUCGUGCAAGUGUAGCCCACUGUUUCGCUGCAAAGAUCCCUUGCGUUGCUAGAUGGUGGAAGAGUUACGUUCCUAGGAAACCCUGCCUUUGUGGUGCUUAAGGAGGCUCUGCCAACGCGAGGUCUGGGAAGGUUCAUAAUGUACGACCCCCACUUCGGAGAGAGGCUGUUUUCCAACUCAAACCCAAGACCACUAGGUGAUUUUGCAAGUUACCCGCCUAGUGAUCAAGAGCCGGGCCCCACUGUGGAGUUUGCCUCUGAGGAUUGGUGGGUCCCUGACAAGUUCGAGCACAGUGCCGAUUGCACGUGCGAGGAUUGUGUUGCAUGACAACUGUGACUCCCGAGUUCUUUUGAUUCUUUUUUAUGUACUCCCUUUUGUUACUUGAUGCUUAAAUUGUCGUAUUUUUGUAUAUAUAUAUAUCAUGCCUUCGGGCCCAACUGUAUAUAACUUUUAUAACUGAAUUUGGGUAUCAAGUAUUUGGGAAACGAUUACAGGUAUUAUUAUGAACAGGUCUUCCACUGAAAAUACAGAUCUUAUCUUCGUUUAGUAGAUUUAUGCUGUAUUGCAGUCACUGCAUUGUUGAUUCUGGUAGGUUUGUGAGUUAACCGGUGUUAACUCGAUCAUCGGCUCGGUUUUGUGCGAGCGGGGUGUGACACAUAGUAUAUGAAGUUUUACACAUGCUUCGGGGGGUGGCUGUUUCCCAGCUUGAACUCGGGACCACUAUGCAACAAAAUUUUCAUUGAUGAAAACAAAUGCCAAUUUUGAAUCAAGCCAUCCAGCCCCUCCUACACGGAUAUUUGUAGUUAAAUGUCUGGAAGCCUUGAAGACUUUUCAGUUGUUCUGCAAUUUAGAUUAGACUCAAAUGUAUCUUAAUCAUCAAGUACUGAUGAACCCCAACAGAAAACAUGUUGGAUCCAUAUGAAAGAAUAUAUUCAGGUGCUUCUGUUUCCUCAAGGAAAUGUAAUUAAUAAUUUUUUGGCAUGGUGUGUAAAUUUGCUGAUUCGUUGGGGUCUCUAUGUUUGGAAAACUUGCUGAGUUCAUCAUGUUUCUGAAAUAUAUUUGUUUUGAGGAUAAAAGCAAGUUGCACUAAAUGCACACAAUUAAAUGACCUGGAGUGGAUGAUGGCCUUCAAGGCAUGUGAAUCACUGUACGAUGUGGAACUAAUUUUUUUCUUCAGAAAUAGACCACUGAGCAUUCAUAAAUGAAGCAAAGGAAAAGUAUAGGGUUCUGUUCAGCUCUCCACAUUCAUCAAUCUUAGUAUCAGAAAUCUCAACAUUAAACAGCUUAUAAUAUUUUAUUUAAUUACCAAUAGUGCAUGAUUGCAUUUAUGUGGCACAAUUAUGGAUUUUGCUAGCUCUUAAUUUUAGCUAAAGAUGCUGCAAAUGCUCUUUUAUGAACAUAGAUUCUGCAUGAAAUAUGCGGUCAAGUAUCAAGGCUUCUUGUAGCUCUUGUUUCCUCCAAUAGUGACUAAGCUGAGGCACUGGGAUUCUUUGUGGUGGGCAAUUUUCCAUCAUAAGUGCACUUCAUGACAUCUGGUGUCCUCACCACGCGGGGUCCCACUGGAACUUUUCUAGGUUUGGGUCUAAUAUCCUGCACACAAAGACAUACUUUCAAUUCUAAAGAGGUGAAAGUGCAUAAAACAUCCUUAUAUAACUAUUCACAAAUUACAAGAGAUAUGAUAUAUAUUAUGCCAAUGGAAACCUGACUUCAUAUGUUCUAGGAACUGUAUAAAAAACAAUAUCUUAGUCUUUGACAUGAGGAUUGUGCUUCAACUUCCAUACAAUGAACAGAUGGUGUACAUGCAUGCUGGAGGUAUCUACUUGAUCUUCUUUGUUAGUUCUAGAUGAUGCCGAUUGAAUGAUCAUAAAGGAGGGAAGAAUUCCCUCAAACUUGGUUUUCCAAUAAUUACUGAGAAAGAAAAUUGUAGAAAGAUCCCAGACUAAAAAUAACAGAGAUGCUAGAGCCACAAUUCUGUUUGAAGAACCUAGGAGUGACAAUUGUUUCUUCUUGAAAUUAUAUUUCCAGAGAAGUCACCUAAGUCAUGUAGCGAGGAUAACUAUAAUAUAUCUAGGGAGGAAAGCUGCGAUUUAGCCAUUAACAUUGUGACGAUUUGGGAGGGUAUAGAAGAAGAGCCAGUGAAGAAAACUGCAAAUUGACAAUAUCCUGUCAUUGAUGUUAAUGUAUCUAGAAAAUUUGUAAAGUGGAAGAAUUUAGCUACCUGGUCAAAUAUAGCUGUUGGAAUUGCAAGAGUUACACAAGCAUUGGGAGAAUCAACUAUUCCUGAAAUUCUUCCUUCGCAGGGGCAGGCUGACAGCAAAAGAUAGACCUGAUAGACAGCAUUUUAUAUCCAAGAUUAGUACAGUAAUAAUUUCUAAUUUUCCAUCUCUCUCUCUCUCUCUCUUUGUGGAGCAGAACUUAGACCUGUUCUCUAGUAUAUCCAAAUUUGGAGAUGUAGUCAAUGGCAUUGAGCACUGCACGCUUGAAUGCAAUACUUGCGUCGAGGUAAUGUUGCUUCCCAGUCUCGUCUACACUGACACCCUCAAAUACCAACCAUUCUGAGAACCUUGGUUCAAUUGGACCAAUCUCAAAGAUUGGGUUUACAUGAAGCGGAGUUGGACCCAUUGGUGUCAGACCAAACAGCUUGCGCCAUGAGCAUUUGCAGUGAUACCAAAUGAAUCAUACCUUUCCAAGAAGACAGCCAUCUGGUGUUGGCAGGCAUGCGAAUGGUCGUUGGUGCAGAUGCUUAGACAAUGUCAAAGACUUGUGGCCUUUUUCUGCAAGUUCUCCUUCCCUUUCAUUCCAUAUGUGUAGGAGCUCCAUUGAUGGUGCGGUCCCAAUAAUUCCAGGGUGAGUUAUACCAGGAAAUCGCACACCUGCCAAGAGGAGAUAAAAUGCAGGUUAUCAUAAUAUUUGGCACAUACUAGUAGUUUCUUCAGUUACUUUCUUCUAGUUUAACUUGUUCAGGAAACACAUUGGGGUUUUUAUUUUUUAUUCGAUUGUUUCUUUUUUCAUUUUUUUAAGAGUCCCCCAGGAUGUUUGAGGUAAAUGCAAAUAAAAAGGUAGAGAAUUUACCUGGUAUCUGAGGGGAGUGAGCAUAUAUCCCUUCAAAAUACCAAAUAGCUUUGGUUGCAGCGGGGAAAUGAUCAGUCAGAAAACUACCACCAUGUUCUCUGUCAAGUGAUCCUGUAUAACCCCAUUCAGAUCCAGGAAGAGGACCCAAGUUCAAGAUUUCAACUGCCAGAAGAUCGCCUGGUUUAGCUGCCACGCCGUUUUUGUCUAAUACUCGAAAGGGUCCGCUGAGGGAAGAUAUUUCCUGAUGCUUUUCAACCAUGCAGUAGCACCAGAAGCUUACCUGGUUCAGGUAGGAAGCCAGCAGAAUUUGUAUCCUUGAAGGUAUAAGUGAAGCAAUUUCAGCCCAUUAGGUUUGACACUCUGCCUGGUUCAAUGAGAGACCCAGUCUCAAAUGAGGUUGUUUAUUGCCUUGGUAUGAUUGGUGCUGGUUUGAUUUCAAGACUGAAAAUCACCCAUUGACAUACCUCAGCCACUUCUUGAUAUUGAAUUUUCAGAUUUGACUUCUGGGUACUAACUGAGUGAUGAAUGAAGGAUGAGAGUACCUCUGUGAUAUAUGAUAUUCUAUGCUGGGAGUGUCUUACUCCAUCUCAGUCCAUCCCUUUCAUGUCUAGUGGUAGAGUCAAGUCCAUGUUUUUCUGAAGUCAUAUAUGAUCACUUACUAUGACUUUUUCCAUAUUUGAGGAUGUGGAAACUUCAGCUCUGAGUCCACUUGCUAGGAUACUGGGUGCCCACUAAGAUUCUCCUAUCAUAUACCAUUAUACCAUCUAUUAAAGAAAGAUAUGGAUGAUGAUUUUUGGGAUAAUCUCAAUCAUAUUCUGCAGUA